GCUAAUGCUGUGCCAUGAGCCGGGGGAGUGGAUGGGGUGGAAAAUUGUGUCGGAAUUACUGGGCAUAAAGCGCACGGAGGUGGUGUGGUAAGUCUCGUGUGAAAUGUCCCGGCUCAAGCGGGGAAUUGGGCGUGAUACUGGCAGGUUAGAGGUCGGGAGGGGUGAGCGGAACUCCUGGUGGAGCGGUGAAAUGCGUAGAUAUCAGGAGGAACACCGGUGGCGAAAGCGGCUCACUGGCCCGAAUCUGACACUGAGGUGCGAAAGCUAGGGUAGCAAACGGGAUUAGAUACCCGGGUAGUC
rnacentral:rRNA from 1 species